GACGAACGCUGGCGGCGUGCUUAACACAUGCAAGUCGAACGGAAAGGCCCUGCUUUUGUGGGGUGCUCGAGUGGCGAACGGGUGAGUAACACGUGAGUCACCUGCCCUUGACUUUGGGAUAACUUCAGGCAACUGGGGCUAAUACCGGAUAGGAGCUCCUGCUGCAUGGUGGGGGUUGGAAAGUUUCGGCGGUUGGGGAUGGACUCGCGGCUUAUCAGCUUGUUGGUGGGGUAGUGGCUUACCAAGGCUUUGACGGGUAGCCGGCCUGAGAGGGUGACCGGCGACAUUGGGACUGAGAUACGGCCCAGACGCCUACGGGAGGCAGCAGGGGGGAAUAUUGCACAAUGGGCGGAAGCCUGAUGCAGAAACGCCGCGUGCGGGAUGACGGCCUUCGGGUUGUAAACCGCUUUAGCCUGUGACGAAGCGUGAGUGACGGUAAUGGGUAAAGAAGCACCGGCUAACUACGUG
rnacentral:rRNA from 1 species